rnacentral:lncRNA from 1 species
CUGGAGCUUGAGGUGUUCAAAUCUCCUUUCUCAAGCAGUGUUAAGCGUCACCGCUAGUGUAGGAGCGAAGAGGAGACAUAGGAACAUCGGAUCCGACAGCUCAUUAUCCUCUAGUAGUGAUGACGUGUGAAUUCACACACCAACAAUGUUGGGGGUGCGUGGUACACACACUGCCAGAAUUCUUACAAUCCUUUCAAUUUGAUUUCACUAGAUCGUGG